rnacentral:rRNA from 1 species
AACCUUGUGCCUACAAGCACCGAGAGUCCGUUAAAGGAUGAUCGGGUACUUUUUGUAGAACGGUCCGGCGAGUUAAUAUUUGCAGCGAGGUUAAGGAACUGGAGUUCCGGAGCCGCAGCGAGAGCGAGUCUGAAUAGGGCGUAUGAAGUUGCAGGUAUUAGACCCGAAACCGGGUGACCUAUCCAUGAGCAGGCUGAAGCGGUGGUAAGACACCGUGGAGGGCCGCACCCACGUCUGUUGAAAAACUCGGAGAUAGCUGGUUCUCCCCGAAAUAGCUUUAGGGCUAGCGUUAUUUUAGAUUACCGGAGGUAAAGCACUGAAUGGUCUAGGGGCCGCGAGGUUACCAAAGCCUAUCAAACUCUGAAUGCCGGAUAAUUGAUGAAUAGCAGUCAGACUGUGUGAGAUAAGUCUCAUAGUCAAAAGGGAAACAGCCCAGAUCUACAGCUAAGGUCCCAAAUGAACACUAAGUGGAAAAUGAUGUGAAACUGCGAAGACAACCAGGAUGUUGGCUUAGAAGCAGCCACUCAUUCAAAGAGUGCGUAAUAGCUCACUGGUCGAGUGGUUUUGCGCAGAAAAUGUAACGGGGCUAAGUGUUCAACCGAAGCUUAGGCAUUGCAGUAAUGCAUUGGGUAGGGGAGCGUCGUAUGCGGGGCGAAGUCAGAGCGGAAGCACUGGUGGACUGCAUACGAGUGAGAAUGCCGGAAUAAGUAGCGAGAAUUAUGUGAGAAUCAUAAUGGCCGAAAAUCUAAGGUUUCUUGGGGAAGGUUCGUCCGCCCAAGGUAAGUCGGGAGCUAAGCUCAGGCCGAGAGGCGUAGGCGAUGCACAUACGGUAGAAAUUCCGUAACCACCGAAACUUAAACAGAGGGACACUUCGAAAUAGCGGAACCCGGGCGUUGGUUGACCCGGGCGAAAGGGAGCGAAAUUAGAGUAGCGAAGUCCGCGAUGUUCGGAGGCGAGAAAAGCUCUGAGGUAUGCUAAGGUGCCCGUACCGCAAACCGACACAGGUAGAUGAGGAGAGAAUCCUAAGGCCAACGGGAGAAGGGUUGUUAAGGAACUCGGCAAAUUGACCCCGUAACUUCGGGAGAAGGGGUGCUCCAGAGAUGGAGCCGCAGAGAAUCGGCCCAAGCAACUGUUUACCAAAAACACAGGUUUGUGCUAAAUCGAAAGAUGACGUAUACGAGCUGACGCCUGCCCGGUGCUGGAAGGUUAAGAGGAGAUGUGCAAGCAUUGAAUCGAAGCCCCAGUGAACGGCGGCCGUAACUAUAACGGUCCUAAGGUAGCGAAAUUCCUUGUCAGGUAAGUUCUGACCCGCACGAAAGGCGUAACGAUUUGGGCGCUGUCUCAGCUGUAGACUCGGUGAAGUCUUAGUACCUGUGAAGAUGCAGGUUACCCGCGACUAGACGGAAAGACCCCAUGGAGCUUCACUGCAGGUUGAUAUUGGGAUUUGAUGCAGCAUGUACAGGAUAGGUAGGAGGCAAAGAGAUGGAUACGCCAGUAUUCAAGGAGCCGCUGUUGGGAUACUACCCCUGUUGUAUUGGAUUUCUAACCGGACGACGUAGAGCCGUUGACGGGACAGUGUCAGUCGGGCAGUUUGACUGGGGCGGUCGCCUCCCAAAGAGUAACGGAGGCGCCCAAAGAUACCCUCAGCUUGGAUGGAAACCAAGCGCAGAGUGCAAAGGCAAAAGGGUGUUUGACUGCGAGACCCACAAGUCGAGCAGGGACGAAAGUCGGGCUUAGUGAUCCGGCGGUGCUGAAUGGAAAGGCCGUCGCUCAACGGAUAAAAGCUACCCUGGGGAUAACAGGCUGAUCUCCCCCAAGAGUCCACAUCGACGGGGAGGUUUGGCACCUCGAUGUCGGCUCAUCGCAUCCUGGGGCUGUAUUCGGUCCCAAGGGUUUGGCUGUUCGCCAAUUAAAGCGGUACGCGAGCUGGGUUCAGAACGUCGUGAGACAGUUCGGUCCCUAUCUGUCGUGGGCGCAGGAAAUUUGAGAAGAGCUGUCCUCAGUACGAGAGGACCGGGAUGGACGCAUCAAUGGUGGACCAGUUGUCACGCCAGUGGCAUAGCUGGGUAGCUAAAUGCGGAAGGGAUAAACGCUGAAGGCAUCUAAGUGUGAAACCCACUUCAAGAUGAGAUUUCCCAUUGCGCAAGCAAGUAAGACCCCUUAAAGACGAUAAGGUAGAUAGGUCAGGAGUGUAAGCAUGGUGACAUGUUAAGCGGACUGAUACUAAUAGGUCGAGGGCUUGACCGA